rnacentral:rRNA from 1 species
AUUGAACGCUGGCGGCAGGCCUUACACAUGCAAGUCGAGCGGAGUGGCGAACGGGUGAGUAAUGCCUAGGAAUCUGCCUGGUAGCGGGGGAUAACGUCCGGAAACGGGCGCUAAUACCGCAUACUAUCAGAAGAGCCGAGGUAGGAGUAGCUAGUUGGUGGGUUAAAGGCUUACCAAGGCGCAGAUCCGUAACUGGUCUGAGAGGAUGAUCAGCCACACUGGAACUGAGACACGGUCCAGACUCCUACGGGAGGCAGCAGUGGUGAAUAUUGGACAAUGGGCGAAAGCCUGAUCCAGCCAUGCCGCGUGUGUGAAGAAGGUCUUCGGAUUGUAAAGCACUUUAGGUUGGGAGGCGUUACCAGCAGAAUAAGCACCGGCUAACUUCGUGCCAGCAGCCGCGGUAAUAC